CCCUUAGGUGGUGCAGUGGGUCAGCGCAUCUGGCUGUUAACCAGGAAGUUGGUGGUUCAAGCCCAGCCAGGGA